rnacentral:rRNA from 1 species
UACAGAGGUCUCAACCGUUGUUCGGAUUCAUUGGGCGUAAAGGGUGCGUAGGCGGUCGCGCAAGUCGGAUGUGAAAUCUCAGGGCUCAACCCUGAAACUGCAUUCGAUACUGCGUGGCUAGGGUGCUGGAGAGGAGACUGGAAUUUACGGUGUAGCAGUGAAAUGCGUAGAUAUCGUAAGGAAGACCAGUGGCGAAGGCGGCGUUCUGGACUGCUACUGACACUGAGGAACGAAAGCCAGGGGAGCAAACGGG